GGGGUGGGGUGGGACCGAGCACUCCCCGGGAGAGGACACGGCUCGGCGCCAGCCUCGCCUCGCCCCGAGAGGCCGGGAGCGCGAUGCCGCCGGGGCCCGCAGCCCGCCCGGGACUAAGACGAGAAGCAGCCGUUCCGGAUUCGCCGGUUGCAGCCACUGGACAAACCGAGCGGCUGCUCGCUCCCUUUGGGGAGCGUGAAAGUGAAGCCUAAUUGACAACUGGUUUGCAGCACAAACAGCUGAAGGGUCUUGCCUGGGGCCUCUCUCGGUGCGUCCACCGAAGGAAACGUCGCCUGGAGGGGGCGCCUGCUGCGCGGCUGGGACCAUCCUGGGAGCGGCCCAAGGAAAGAGAAAGCAAGGCCACCAGAGGGCGCCCAGGUUUGGUUCCUACAAAACAAGUUGUAGUUCAAAAGGCUCCGUGAGACUCAGCCCGUGACUGUUUGAACGCUUGGCCGUCUCCUUCCUGGAAGGUGGCACGGACAUGCAGGGCUGGUAACCCUAGGCCCACUGAUGUGAACUCGAAGACGUCCGGGCUAAUGCCCGCUGCUGGCUUAGACAGUCUUGGAUCUUGUUUUCUGUCGUGGUUUGCUGCUGAGGAGGAGGAAGUUCCUUCUCCCCUCUCUCCCAGCUUAUCCACCUGCAAGGGCUCUUCCGGUGCUGCCGAUCGACAGCACUACCUGGAAAAGGGUAAUUACAGCCUAAUGAAUAGGUAGGUAUGAAUGGGAGGGGGCGUACACCCACAAAUGAGUGAAGUCAGUUCUACAUAAUCAAAAGAACUUUGUCAUGUGUUCUAAAAUUUAACGUUCUGAAUAAAUACUGGAAUUCCUUUUAUUUUCAAAUACAUAUCUGAAUACCUAUCCUUUUAUAUUCAAAUACAUAUCUGAAUCUUUUUAGCCUUG